rnacentral:misc_RNA from 1 species
GAUGAAGAACGCAGCGAAAUGCGAUAAGUAAUGUGAAUUGCAGAAUUCAGUGAAUCAUCGAAUCUUUGAACGCACAUUGCGCCCGCCAGUAUUCUGGCGGGCAUGCCUGUUCGAGCGUCAUUUCAACCAUCAAGCCCCCGGCUUGUGUUGGGGACCUGCGGCUGCCGCAGGCCCUGAAAACCAGUGGCGGGCUCGCUAGUCACUCCGAGCGUAGUAAUACAUCUCGCUCAGGGCGUGCUGCGGGUUCCGGCCGUUAAAAAGCCUUAUUUACCCAAGGUUGACCUCGGAUCAGGUAGGAAGACCCGCUGAACUUAAGCAUAUCAAUAAGCGGAGA